rnacentral:rRNA from 1 species
GAACGCCCUAACAGUAGGGAGUGGCAUAUCGGUGAGUAACGCGUGGGAACCUACCCUUCGGUCUGGAAUAACCCAGGGAAACUUGUGCUCAUACCGGAUACGUGCUACAGCAUAAAGAUUUAUCGGGGAAGGAUCGGCCCGCGUCCGAUUAGCUAGUUGGUGAGGUAAAAGCUCACCACCGCGACUAUCGGUAGCUGGUCUGAGAGGAUGAUCAACCACACUGGGACUGAGACACGGCCCAAACUCCUACGGGCAGGGAGCAGUGGGGAAUAUUGGACCAUGGGCGAAACCCUGAU